rnacentral:rRNA from 1 species
UGACAACCUGGUUGAUCCUGCCAGUAGUCAUAUGCUUGUCUCAAAGAUUAAGCCAUGCAUGUCUCAGUACAAGCCGAGUUAAGGUGAAACCGCGAAAGGCUCAUUAAAUCAGUUAUGGUUCCUUAGAUCGUACCCACAUUUACUUGGAUAACUGUGGUAAUUCUAGAGCUAAUACAUGCAAACAGAACUCCGACCUGAAAAGGAAGGAGCGCUUUUAUUAGAUCAAAACCAAUCGGCGGCGGCGAGGCGGGCGUUCGCGCGUCCGUCACGUCGUCCGUCGUACACGUUGGCGAGUCUGAAUAACUUUACGCUGAUCGCACGGUCUCGCACCGGCGACGCAUCUUUCAAAUGUCUGCCUUAUCAACUGUCGAUGGUAGGUUCUGCGCCUACCAUGGUCGUAACGGGUAACGGGGAAUCAGGGUUCGAUUCCGGAGAGGGAGCCUGAGAAACGGCUACCACAUCCAAGGAAGGCAGCAGGCGCGCAAAUUACCCACUCCCGGCACGGGGAGGUAGUGACGAAAAAUAACGAUACGGGACUCAUCCGAGGCCCCGUAAUCGGAAUGAGUACACUUUAAAUCCUUUAACGAGGACCCAUUGGAGGGCAAGUCUGGUGCCAGCAGCCGCGGUAAUUCCAGCUCCAAUAGCGUAUAUUAAAGUUGUUGCGGUUAAAAAGCUCGUAGUUGAAUCUGUGUCUCGCGCCGCCGGUUCAUCGCUCGCGGUGUCAACUGGCGUGUUUACGCGGGACGUCCCGCCGGUGGGCGUCUGCCGGGCGAGCGUUCGCGCGCUCGUCCGACGGCCCAACUUAGAAAUCCCGCCGCGGUGCUCUUCGCUGAGUGUCGAGGUGGGCCGGCGCGUUUACUUUGAACAAAUUAGAGUGCUUAAGGCAGGCUGAAAAUUUCGCCUGAAUAUUGCGUGCAUGGAAUAAUGGAAUAGGACCUCGGUUCUAUUUUGUUGGUUUUCGGAACACCGAGGUAAUGAUUAAUAGGGACAGAUGGGGGCAUUCGUAUUGCGACGUUAGAGGUGAAAUUCUUGGAUCGUCGCAAGACGGACAGAAGCGAAAGCAUUUGCCAAACAUGUUUUCAUUAAUCAAGAACGAAAGUCAGAGGUUCGAAGGCGAUCAGAUACCGCCCUAGUUCUGACCAUAAACGAUGCCAGCUAGCGAUCCGCCGACGUUCCUCCGAUGACUCGGCGGGCAGCUCUUCCGGGAAACCAAAGCUUUUGGGUUCCGGGGGAAGUAUGGUUGCAAAGCUGAAACUUAAAGGAAUUGACGGAAGGGCACCACCAGGAGUGGAGCCUGCGGCUUAAUUUGACUCAACACGGGAAACCUCACCAGGCCCGGACACCGGAAGGAUUGACAGAUUGAGAGCUCUUUCUUGAUUCGGUGGGUGGUGGUGCAUGGCCG